GAUGAACGCUGGCGGCGUGCCUAAUACAUGCAAGUCGAGCGAACAGAUGAGGAGCUUGCUCCUCUGACGUUAGCGGCGGACGGGUGAGUCACACGUGGAUAACCUACCUAUAAGACUGGGAUAACUUCGGGAAACCGGCGCUAAUACCGGAUAAUCUAUUGAACCGCAUGGUUCAAUAGUGAAAGACGGUUUUGCUGUCACUUAUAGAUGGAUCCGCGCCGCAUUAGCUAGUUGGUAAGGUAACGGCUUACCAAGGCAACGAUGCGUAGCCGACCUGAGAGGGUGAUCGGCCACACUGGAACUGAGACACGGUCCAGACUCCUACGGGAGGCAGCAGUAGGGAAUCGUCCGCAAUGGGCGAAAGCCUGACGGAGCAACGCCGCGUGAGUGAUGAAGGUCUUCGGAACGUAAAACUCUGUUAUUAGGGAAGAACAAAUGUGUAAUUAACUAUGCACGUCUUGACGGUACCUAAUCAGAAAGCCACGGCUAACUACGUG
rnacentral:rRNA from 1 species